AAGUUAAAGUAGUGCGGGUGCAGGAAAGUAAAUAAAAGUAGUGCGGUGCAAGAAAUAAAGGAAAGUAGUGCAGUGCGAGAAAAAAAUAAAAGUAGUGCGAGUGCGGAAAAUAAGUUAAAGUAGUGCGGGUGCAGGAAAGUAAAUAAAAGUAGUGCGGUGCAAGAAAUAAAGGAAAGUAGUGCAGUGCGAGAAAUAAACAAAGUAAAGUGCAAGUGCGGGAAAGUAAACAAAAU
rnacentral:lncRNA from 1 species